rnacentral:lncRNA from 1 species
UCAAUACUAACCGAAACCGGAAGUACACUUGAGGGGGUUAUCUUGUUUCUCCUCGCCCGCUUCCGUUCUGCGUCUGUUUGUAAACAUGCGUCAGCAGCACGUGAUCCUGUGGACGUAUUUGUAAGUGUGGCCCAAUCAGAAAGCGGGGGUGUGUGCCGGUGGGCGUGGCCGGAGAGUGUUGCUGUGAAAAUGUCGAUGGACAGAGGUUUUCGUGAGGGCAGGGGACCACUCCGGAUUCUGGGGCGGCGAGGAGGGGCUGCAGGAGAGCGGUGGCCGCAGGUGUCACGGCGGUGCCGCAGUGAGAAAGACGUUCAGCCAAGAUGGAAUCUUUCCUUUAGAAAAUCUGUCCCUGCACUGCACACCGGAUGAUAUCUGCCUAAGAGGUAAAGCCAGCAGAGCUGACCUGGCUGCUUUCCAACACCAGAUAUGAAGAUAUAGGAAGUGGCAGAGUUGAAAAAUGACGUGGCUAAAAUGAACACAACCCUCCGCUGGACAAGGAGCCCAAAUAGGAGACGGGAAGAACCCCCAUCUGAGAGUCAACACACGUGUCACAGUAAAAAAACAUUUUUUAUUUAAGGUUUUAAAUGACAGCUAGCUGGAAAGAUCCAGGCAAUGUUAUUUACUUCCUGGAUGAGGCAUGCUUGAAAUAAAAAAGAAACCUGGAGCUAACUCAGUUCCACAAGUAACCACUAGGGGACUUUUUGAAAAAACAAGCCAGUUUCUAUUGCUGUGUAAACCAGGCAAACUUUAAGUUUGUCCGAAAAAUGUUUCUAUUUUUGUGUUUAGUUUAUAGUGGGGUUAUUUGGUAAACUGGAUCAUUUAUUUGAUAUUUUCGAUAUAAAGGGGGCGUGGCCUCUGAUAUGCCUCCUAUAUUCAGCUUUAGGACUUUUGUGGGUGGAUCCUUUGCUCCUCCUGUUUGAUUUUUACCAGAAGCUCAGGUCUUAGUGAUGUCACAUCCUGCCAGGAUGGCUACAACUGACAAACCAGGUUUAAAGUCCCACUCUGACCAUCGUUUAAUUUAUUGUAAAAGCUUUCCAGUUCUCUUUGUCUUGGAAUUAGGCAGUUUUUAGCCAAAAUAAUAAAUAAAAAACCU